rnacentral:rRNA from 1 species
GACGAACGCUGGCGGCGUGCUUAAUACAUGCAAGUCGACAUGAGAGGGGAACGGGUGAGUAAUACUUAGGUAACCUGCCCUCCUUUUUGGGAUAAGCCUUGGAAACGGGGUCUAAUACCGAAUAAAGGGGGAUGGGCUCGCGGUCUAUCAGCUUGUUGGUGGGGUGAUGGCUUACCAAGGCGGUGACGGGUAGCCGGCCUGAGAGGCAGACCGGCACUAGUAGGACGGACAGACGGCCCAGGCGCCUACGGGAGGGAGCAGUGGGGGAUAUGGCACAAUGGUGGAAAGCCUGAUGCAGCGACGCGGCGUGGGGGAUGAAGGCUUUCGGGUUGUAAACCUCUGUCGCUAUCUAACCGGUAGGUGGCGAAGAAGCGCCGGCUAACUACGUGCCAGCAGCCGCGGUAAUUC